rnacentral:rRNA from 1 species
CCCUUCGGGAUGAAAUUAAGUGGAAAGAGCGGCGGACGGGUGAGUAACACGUGGGCAACCUACCUAUAAGACUGGGAUAACUCGCGGAAACGUGAGCUAAUACCGGAUAAUACUUUUUAUUGCAUAAUAAGAAGUUUGAAAGGCGGCGUAAGCUGUCACUUAUAGAUGGGCCCGCGGCGCAUUAGCUAGUUGGUGAGGUAAAGGCUCACCAAGGCAACGAUGCGUAGCCGACCUGAGAGGGUGAUCGGCCACACUGGGACUGAGACACGGCCCAGACUCCUACGGGAGGCAGCAGUAGGGAAUCUUCCGCAAUGGACGAAAGUCUGACGGAGCAACGCCGCGUGAGUGAAGAAGGUUUUCGGAUCGUAAAACUCUGUUGUUAGGGAAAAACAAGUCAGGUAGUAACUGACCUGACCUUGACGGUACCUAACCACAAAGCCACGGCUAACUACGUGCCAGCAGCCGCGGGAGUACGUAGUGGCAAGGGUUGUCCGGAUUUAUUGGACGUAAACUUCUCG